GAGGAUAUAGCUCAGUGGUAGAGUACAUGCUUAGCAUGCAUGAGGUCCUGGGUUCAAUCCCCAGCACCUCCA
rfam:Camelus ferus unplaced genomic scaffold scaffold852, whole genome shotgun sequence.